UACGGAGGGUGCAAGCGUUAUCCGGAUUCACUGGGUUUAAAGGGUGCGUAGGUGGGCAAUUAAGUCAGUGGUGAAAUCUCCGGGCUUAACCCGGAAACUGCCAUUGAUACUAUUUGUCUUGAAUACCGUGGAGGUGAGCGGAAUAUGUCAUGUAGCGGUGAAAUGCUUAGAUAUGACAUAGAACACCAAUUGCGAAGGCAGCUCACUACACGCCUAUUGACACUGAGGCACGAAAGCGUGGGGAUCAAACAGG
rnacentral:rRNA from 1 species